rnacentral:lncRNA from 1 species
UUCUACGGAAGAGACAGCAUACUUGAAAUUAAAAAAAAAUAGGGCACACACAUGAAAAUAUUACCUUUUGUAACACAAUCUCAUCCAGCUUUUCCAAACCUCAAGAACAUUCAGAAGGGGAAAUGACAACUUAAAACUAACUCCUAUUAUCACAUCGCAAAUGAAAGUCAUUAAAAGACAUCUUCAUAACAGUUACGCUUUCAGGUCAGAAGAUUUAAAAGUACAAGCGAAUGGUAGGAGUUGUACAGGCCUAUCAACACCUUUAAAUGAUCGACUGUCUUUUGCUUUCUGGCUUUACAAGGCGUGUUGCCGUGUGCAUUGUCGAGUUAUUCAUUGGUCAAGUGACUCCUUUUGUUACUCUAAUUCAACUGGUAGAUUUACCAUACAUCACUCGCCAUUAGUUAAUUUCCUUUUACUUAGGAAAAUAAAUAAAAUUUCCGCAUAGCCCCUUACUAUUGUAAAACAAAUCUAUUUUCCCAAUGGCAAUGUAUUGUUUUUGUCACUGAUUUCUCUAUCCAAUAAUGCAUAAUGGAGUGAGGGGUUGUGCGGAAAUUUUACCAAAUAGAUUUACAACACAAUCGAGUAUACAAUAGUAACGCUGUGUAACGCAACAAUAUGCUUUUCCUCGGCCAUAAUCGGUCUCAAACACUAGCACUUAAAAUGCGAGAAAUACAAGUACUGUUGGAGGACGUUUGAGAGCGUUUGGUCAAAGCUGUUAAAGAAGGAUCAAAGCGGCCAUCUAAAUCUUUGAAAGGCUCCAAACUACGACGUACAUCCAAUUUGACCUUCUCGAAAAUCGGGCUCAAAUUACAUACUAAAAGACCGUGAUUACGUUUUUCCUUGAGAACCAUAAAAUACACGACAAUACGUACAAAAAUACUUUUACACAUUAAGAAUAAUUCAAAUUACAUUUACCUAUGGUAAAAGGAAAAGGGAAUGGCCUAACUUUCACGGAAUAUUCAGUCAAAAUCUGGCAAUUUCUUGUGCUUUCACCGCCAUAUUGAAAAUUAAGCUUCCACAAUGCAACGCAAUCGGAGUGCGCACACUGCCUAGUCCAUAAUAUGAUUCCCCACACAUGACGUAUUUACGAGUGACAGUGAAAUCGGCCUGCCCUUUGAGAGCGCUAAGCGAUUUUUAUCAGCCUCUCUGUGGAUAAACAGUCAUUAUUUUUCUACGCAUGGAUUUGGGAGAGAGCAAGGAAAAAGCAAGACUGGCCAUCGUUCAUUUUAGUGAUUAAUCGAUCGGGUGAGUUUUAUUUGUGAAAACUCGGCCCCCAUAGCGGGAGUUCUAACUUCCCUGUCCACACCCUUUCACUGGGGUACACGAUUGGGUUUGAUCAAGUAUUCCAGCACUUUCCCGAAGGUGACUCGCAAUUGUGAGAAACUGCUCAAUUGAUUCAUUUAAAUCUGGCCUAGGACGGCUCAGACUCUGCAGAAGUCGGAAGCUCAGACUGAGAGAUGAAGUUCUCAAUCUACCACAGCGAAAGGUUUAUAGCCUGCCUGAAUACUACGCUGCCAUGAAAUGACGUCAAAGUACGAGGACAACCACGUGGUUGAAGAUCACAUGGGUGAUCUUUUGAUUCUCAUUGGCCACUUUCGCGACGAACUGUGUUGAAAGAACUCUAUUACGCGGGAGGCAAUACAAGCAAUACGAACAAAACCAAAACAGGAGCAGGCCAAUACGAGUCACAUCAAUGUGUUUCAAAAGAAUACUUUGAUGUCAAAGAGGGGAAACCAGUCCAAAUUAUCUGGAAUAAAUCCUCUAGUGGUGAAGAGCUUCGUGGCUAUCGCCUUGUCCUAAAAUCAGA